rnacentral:rRNA from 1 species
CAUGCAAGUCGAACGGAAAGGCCCUGCUUUUGUGGGGUGCUCGAGUGGCGAACGGGUGAGUAACACGUGAGUAACCUGCCCUUGACUUUGGGAUAACUUCAGGAAACUGGGGCUAAUACCGGAUAGGAGCUCCUGCUGCAUAGUGGGGGUUGGAAAGUUUCGGCGGUUGGGGAUGGACUCGCGGCUUAUCAGCUUGUUGGUGGGGUAGUGGCUUACCAAGGCUUUGACGGGUAGCCGGCCUGAGAGGGUGACCGGCCACAUUGGGACUGAGAUACGGCCCAGACUCCUACGGGAGGCAGCAGUGGGGAAUAUUGCACAAUGGGCGGAAGCCUGAUGCAGCAACGCCGCGUGCGGGAUGACGGCCUUCGGGUUGUAAACCGCUUUCGCCUGUGACGAAGCGUGAGUGACGGUAAUGGGUAAAGAAGCACCGGCUAACUACGUGCCAGCAGCCGCGGUGAUACGUAGGGUGCGAGCGUUGUCCGGAUUUAUUGGGCGUAAAGGGCUCGUAGGUGGUUGAUCGCGUCGGAAGUGUAAUCUUGGGGCUUAACCCUGAGCGUGCUUUCGAUACGGGUUGACUUGAGGAAGGUAGGGGAGAAUGGAAUUCCUGGUGGAGCGGUGGAAUGCGCAGAUAUCAGGAGGAACACCAGUGGCGAAGGCGGUUCUCUGGGCCUUUCCUGACGCUGAGGAGCGAAAGCGUGGGGAGCGAACAGGCUUAGAUACCCUGGUAGUCCACGCUGUAAACGGUGGGUACUAGGUGUGGGGUCCAUUCCACGGGUUCCGUGCCGUAGCUAACGCUUUAAGUACCCCGCC